GGGUUGUGAGGUUAAGCGACUAAGCGUACACGGUGGAUGCCCUGGCAGUCAGAGGCGAUGAAGGGCGUGCUAAUCUGCGAUAAGCGCCGGUAAGGUGAUAUGAACCGUUAUAACCGGCGAUACCCGAAUGGGGAAACCCAGUGUGACUCGUCACACUAUCAUUAACUGAAUCCAUAGGUUAAUGAGGCGAACCGGGGGAACUGAAACAUCUAAGUACCCCGAGGAAAAGAAAUCAACCGAGAUUCCCCCAGUAGCGGCGAGCGAACGGGGAGGAGCCCAGAGCCUGAAUCAGCAUGUGUGUUAGUGGAAGCGUCUGGAAAGGCGCGCGAUACAGGGUGACAGCCCCGUACACAAAAGCGCAUGUGCUGUGAGCUCGAUGAGUAGGGCGGGACACGUGGUAUCCUGUCUGAAUAUGGGGGGACCAUCCUCCAAGGCUAAAUACUCCUGACUGACCGAUAGUGAACCAGUACCGUGAGGGAAAGGCGAAAAGAACCCCGGCGAGGGGAGUGAAAAAGAACCUGAAACCGUGUACGUACAAGCAGUGGGAGCACCCUUUGGGUGUGACUGCGUACCUUUUGUAUAAUGGGUCAGCGACUUAUAUUCUGUAGCAAGGUUAACCGAAUAGGGGAGCCGGAGGGAAACCGAGUCUUAAUUGGGCGUUAAGUUGCAGGGUAUAGACCCGAAACCCGGUGAUCUAGCCAUGGGCAGGUUGAAGGUUGGGUAACACUAACUGGAGGACCGAACCGACUAAUGUUGAAAAAUUAGCGGAUGACCUGUGGCUGGGGGUGAAAGGCCAAUCAAACCGGGAGAUAGCUGGUUCUCCCCGAAAGCUAUUUAGGUAGCGCCUCGUGAAUUCAUCUCCGGGGGUAGAGCACUGUUUCGGCUAGGGGGCCAUCCCGGCUUACCAACCCGAUGCAAACUGCGAAUACCGGAGAAUGUUAUCACGGGAGACACACGGCGGGUGCUAACGUCCGUCGUGAAGAGGGAAACAACCCAGACCGCCAGCUAAGGUCCCAAAGUCAUGGUUAAGUGGGAAACGAUGUGGGAAGGCCCAGACAGCCAGGAUGUUGGCUUAGAAGCAGCCAUCAUUUAAAGAAAGCGUAAUAGCUCACUGGUCGAGUCGGCCUGCGCGGAAGAUGUAACGGGGCUAAACCAUGCACCGAAGCUGCGGCAGCGACGCUUAUGCGUUGUUGGGUAGGGGAGCGUUCUGUAAGCCUGCGAAGGUGGCCUGUGAGGGUUGCUGGAGGUAUCAGAAGUGCGAAUGCUGACAUAAGUAACGAUAAAGCGGGUGAAAAGCCCGCUCGCCGGAAGACCAAGGGUUCCUGUCCAACGUUAAUCGGGGCAGGGUGAGUCGACCCCUAAGGCGAGGCCGAAAGGCGUAGUCGAUGGGAAACGGGUUAAUAUUCCCGUACUUGGUGUUACUGCGAAGGGGGGACGGAGAAGGCUAUGUUGGCCGGGCGACGGUUGUCCCGGUUUAAGCGUGUAGGUGUGUGUUCCAGGUAAAUCCGGUUCACUUUAACACUGAGGCGUGACGACGAGGCACUACGGUGCUGAAGCAACAAAUGCCCUGCUUCCAGGAAAAGCCUCUAAGCAUCAGGUAACAUCAAAUCGUACCCCAAACCGACACAGGUGGUCAGGUAGAGAAUACCAAGGCGCUUGAGAGAACUCGGGUGAAGGAACUAGGCAAAAUGGUGCCGUAACUUCGGGAGAAGGCACGCUGACACGUAGGUGAAGUGAUUUACUCAUGGAGCUGAAGUCAGUCGAAGAUACCAGCUGGCUGCAACUGUUUAUUAAAAACACAGCACUGUGCAAACACGAAAGUGGACGUAUACGGUGUGACGCCUGCCCGGUGCCGGAAGGUUAAUUGAUGGGGUCAGCGCAAGCGAAGCUCCUGAUCGAAGCCCCGGUAAACGGCGGCCGUAACUAUAACGGUCCUAAGGUAGCGAAAUUCCUUGUCGGGUAAGUUCCGACCUGCACGAAUGGCGUAAUGAUGGCCAGGCUGUCUCCACCCGAGACUCAGUGAAAUUGAACUCGCUGUGAAGAUGCAGUGUACCCGCGGCAAGACGGAAAGACCCCGUGAACCUUUACUAUAGCUUGACACUGAACAUUGAGCCUUGAUGUGUAGGAUAGGUGGGAGGCUUUGAAGUGUGGACGCCAGUCUGCAUGGAGCCGACCUUGAAAUACCACCCUUUAAUGUUUGAUGUUCUAACGUGGACCCGUUACCCGGGUUGCGGACAGUGUCUGGUGGGUAGUUUGACUGGGGCGGUCUCCUCCUAAAGAGUAACGGAGGAGCACGAAGGUUGGCUAAUCCUGGUCGGACAUCAGGAGGUUAGUGCAAUGGCAUAAGCCAGCUUGACUGCGAGCGUGACGGCGCGAGCAGGUGCGAAAGCAGGUCAUAGUGAUCCGGUGGUUCUGAAUGGAAGGGCCAUCGCUCAACGGAUAAAAGGUACUCCGGGGAUAACAGGCUGAUACCGCCCAAGAGUUCAUAUCGACGGCGGUGUUUGGCACCUCGAUGUCGGCUCAUCACAUCCUGGGGCUGAAGUAGGUCCCAAGGGUAUGGCUGUUCGCCAUUUAAAGUGGUACGCGAGCUGGGUUUAGAACGUCGUGAGACAGUUCGGUCCCUAUCUGCCGUGGGCGCUGGAGAACUGAGGGGGGCUGCUCCUAGUACGAGAGGACCGGAGUGGACGCAUCACUGGUGUUCGGGUUGUCAUGCCAAUGGCACUGCCCGGUAGCUAAAUGCGGAAGAGAUAAGUGCUGAAAGCAUCUAAGCACGAAACUUGCCCCGAGAUGAGUUCUCCCUGAGACUUAAAGUCUCCUGAAGGAACGUUGAAGAC
rnacentral:rRNA from 1 species